CCCUCCCAACCCAGGCCAUUCUGUGAUUCUGUGAUUCAGUGAAAUUGUAUUCUCUUCCCUUCUUUCCUAUUCCUCCCCUACUUCCACUGUGUUGGCAGAUGGUGUCAUUAUUGCCUGCUCUGCUGCUUGAUGAAUAUUCGACAAGAAGACCCCUCUUCUUAGUGAAACCAUGGACCAGAGUUCCACGAAAUCCAUUGGCAAUGAGUAUUGAUUAUCUCUGAGCUGCAUGAAGGGAAAGACUUGCGGUCACUAUGGAAGUGCACGUGCUGCUAUGCUAUAAUGUGCUUUAUUGGUGGUUUUUGUAUGCCAGAAACACAGCAGGUGGCAAACAGCAUAUGUAACUAAGACUGAUUUGUUGAGAAAAGAUCCUACAUACUCUGACUUUCCUGGGUGGAGAGCUUGGCAAUCGUCAUAUAAUUCUGUUCCAGCUUGGGUUUCCUUCACUUCAGCCUCAGGAGAAGGAGGCCACUGGAGAGCUGCCCUUGACAAACCUCGUCUCUUUCUUCUUGCACCUCCACAAGGCUCCUUGUGUUUAGUCUGGGGCUUGCUGUAACUAAGCAGCACUAGCAGAGAAGUUGGAUGUUGCCCUAUGUACGUGCUGAAGCUGUCAGCAUAAAGACCAAGAGGCCAGCAAGGACAAAAACUGUAAGGGUAGCAGUUCUACAGAUGAAAGGCUGUCUGUGCAUUCAAGAGCAUUGGCUACGUUGGCUGUGUUAGGGACAGAUGCAGGAGCAUGGAGAAUUCAAGUUGGAUGAAAGAAGUCUUUUCCAGCAGGUGUCCAAAAGCACCUUGCCCACCGUGCUGUCAGCUGUAACCCAUACAGGAACAGCUGAGCCACUGCUCCCUUCUUAUGCAAGUGCAGAAGCUGGAGCACCUCCUCUAUGAGGACAGGUUGAGAGAGCUGGGGCUCUUCAGACUGCAAAAGAGAAGGCUCCAGGGCAACCUUAUAGCGGCCUUCAAUUACCUGAAGGGGCCCUAAAGAAAAGCUGGGGAGGGACUUUUUAUAAGGGCAUGUAGCAACAGGAUGAGGGGGAAUGUCUUUAAACUGGAUGAGUUAGAUUUAAACUAGAUAUUAGGAAGAAAUUCUUUACUGUGAGGGUGGUGAGACAGUGGCACAGGUUGCCCAGAGAGGCUCCCACUCUGGAAGCACUCAAGGCCAGGCUGGAUGGGGCCGUGAGCAACCUGGUCUGGAGGGAGGUGUCCCUGCCUAUAGCAGGGGGUUGGAACCAGGUGAUCUUAAAGGUGCCUGCCAAUCCAAACCAUUCCAUGAUUCUAUGACCCUAUGCAGACCAGAAGUAUUCCUGUUUUGGUAGACUCUGCAUCUCAUUUCAAGACUGGACAGUCGUACAGUGGCAGAUAUAGAACUGGGGCAUAAUCUGCUCUUCAUCUUUUCCUACCGACAGAAUCUGCGGCUGUUUGAACUCAGCACUGGAUGCUGAAUUACCACCUCCUCCAUGCAGUGCAUGCAGGCCAGGACUGUGGCUUCGCAGGAGGAAGUUCUCUUGGAUGUCAGCAUCCCUCAGGGUCAGUGGGAUGCUGAGUCCUUUGGUGGAUGUAUCCAGACAACUAAAGCCAUAUUUUAAAGCACUGAGCUUUCCAGACCUGAGUAAUUUUGGGUCAGCCAAUCACAUAAAUAAAUGU